GACGAACGCUGGCGGCGUGCCUAAUACAUGCAAGUAGAACGCACAGGGUAUACCUUGGCCUGCUGCACGAUAUACGGUCAGGUGAGAACGGCGUAGGUAAGCUUACGUAAACUGCCGGGUAGCGAUGGGAAACGAUAGCUAAUAAUGCAUAACAGCACAUGUUACUUAUCAUUUCCUUAAAAGUUGUAAUUGCAUCCAUACCCACCGCAACUAGAUGGACUUGCGUUGUAUUAGCUAGAAGGUGAGGUAACGGCGCACCUAGGCGACGAUACAUAGCCGACCUGAGAGGGUGAUCGGCCACACUGGGACUGAGACACGGCCCAGACUCCUACGGGAGGCAGCAGUAGGGAAUCUUCGGCAAUGGACGGAAGUCUGACCGAGCAACGCCGCGUGAGUGAAGAAGGUUUUCGGAUCGUAAAGCUCUGUUGUAAGAGAAGAACGAGUGUGAGAGUGGAAAGUUCACACUGUGACGGUAGCUUACCAGAAAGGGACGGCUAACUACGUG
rnacentral:rRNA from 1 species